UAUGCAAAUAUGUUUUUUUUCUUUUUUCUAAUGUUGUGUUUCUUCCACUCUUUCACUUUUCUAUUCUUCAACAUGAAUUUCUAAAUCCACCUUUACCGACAGCCUAAUUCUAGCUUGCAUUUCAAAGCAAAACCAACGCAUGAUGGAUACAAAAAAUAACCUUCCUGUCAUUUCCAUCUUGAUGGUGUACCUGUGCUGGAUAACGCCGUGUAGUGGACUAAAGCGAGAUUUGUCAACAUGGCGGCCAUGACGGCAACAGAGAGAGCGAAAAGACGAUCGAAAUAUUUACUAAAUUAGUCACUUCUACCUCUCAAAACAAAAAAAAAAUUAUGAGAUGUAGACAUUUAGAGGGAUAUUGUAAAUAUGAGUGGUAUUUUAGCUCCUCAGGAACAGAAAGAUCUGCAAAAAUUCCUGAAGUUCUUGUCGCUAAAGACUGUCCAAGUCAUUGUCCAGUCAAGACUUGGCGACAAGGUUCACACAAGAUCCAAACCUAAUGCUAUGGGUCAAGACUGGUUUAAUCUGGCCAUUGAUGAUAUUCCGGAGAUCACUGAUGAGACUAAGAAAGCGAUGUCUGGUAGAUUGACAUCUGUGGAUGUACCAAUGUGCAUUGAGAUAUCACUCAAGACCAACGAGGGAGAUUCAAUGGUCUUGGAGAACUGGUGUCUAGGCAUGAACCAAAGACAAGAUGCACAUGCAAAGAUCACCUACACAGUGUACAACCGCAUGGGAAUGCUGCUCAAGUCACUUCUAUCAGUCACCAGGGUAACACCAGCAUAUCGACUGGCCAGGAAACAAGGACUGGAUUAUGUCAUGUGUUACAGAGUCUACUUUGGUGAUGUGCGUGUCAAAGAGCUUGGAGAAGGGUUUCAGACCAUUCAUGUCGGCUCUGUGGGAACACCAGUUGGUUCCAUUACAUUGUCAGCCGCUUAUCGCACUAACCUUACCAUGGCUGACAGGACUCCUGUUAUGCCUCUGAAGAGUGAUCACUACAGUGUCCAGGAGCACACCCAGGUUACCCCUGAACCAACAACGCCUUGCGGUGCCUGGACUAUGCCUGAUGUGGCUACUACUGGCAGGAUCAACAUUGCUGAGGAAAUUGCAAGUGCAACAGCCACUGAGGUGACUGAGCCUCACCCUAGGCCUGCAGUGCAUUGUGCACACCCCUCGCAAACAUGCCAAGCGAGCAUGAGGUCUAAGACUAUUCCUCAAGCAUUUAAUAACCCAAACACCCACCAUGCCAAGGGGGCAUUUGCAGGAUCUCCUGUAAGCCAUGGCCGGUCAUUGCCUGUCUUAUCGUCAACACCUCCAUUCGCAUCACUAUUGUGUGACCGUGAUAGCCCAAAGCAGACUGUCACACCAGACAGUUCAACUCGCAGCUCAGGAUCAUCACAGCGGAAAAGCUCAUCUUAUUUACAAAGAAAAGACAGCUCAUCAGAGUCGGUUGAUGGUAGACCUCCCCAGUCAAACGCCUCUCCUGGUCUCUGGGCAGCGGAUGAUGACUUUGUCAUGGUAGAACUGAAGCCAGCAUUUGCCUGUAACUCUGCUGUGGACGGGGACUUGGGAAGUUUCUUCCGUGAAUGUCAGGCAGCACCUCCCCUUAACUUAUUCCAGCAAGGCAGGGACCUCACCCUUGGCAAUAUCAUGGUAUGGCUACCCCCCCUUAUGUAACUUAUUCCAGCAAGGCAUGGACCUCACCCUUGGCAAUAUCAUGGUAUGGCUACCUCCCCUUAUGUAACUUAUUCCAGCAAGGCAUGGACCUCACCCUCGGCAAUAUCAUGGUAUGGCUACCUCCCCUUAUGUAACUUAUUCCAGCAAGGCAGGGACCUCACCCGUGGCAAUAUCAUGGUAUGGCUACCCCCCCUUAUGUAACUUAUUCCAGCAAGGCAUGGACCUCACCCUUGGCAAUAUCAUGGUAUGGCUACCUCCCCUUAUGUAACUUAUUCCAGCAAGGCAGGGACCUCACCCUUGGCAAUAUCAUGGACGAUCUCGAUGUUCAGCUAAGUAGUUACGAGGAAUGCCUGCCGAUAUUCGACGAACUUGUGGCGAACCUUCAGCAAUCUCAGAUUUCCACACAUCACGCAAAUUAAAUAUCUGUGGCAACCUUAUAAAUAACUAGAAUUGUACAGUCAAAUACAUGAGAAUUAUGAAUAAUUGUGUAUAAAUCGUAUGUAAUAAAUGCAGUGUUUAUAAUUGAAUAAACAGUUGCGCGACCA